CAUCUAUACUGUGAAACUGCGAAUGGCUCAUUAAAUCAGUUAUCGUUUAUUUGAUAGUACCUUACUACUUGGAUAACCGUGGUAAUUCUAGAGCUAAUACAUGCUAAAAACCUCGACUUCGGAAGGGGUGUAUUUAUUAGAUAAAAAACCAAUGCCCUUCGGGGCUCCUUGGUGAAUCAUGAUAACUUAACGAAUCGCAUGGCCUUGCGCCGGCGAUGGUUCAUUCAAAUUUCUGCCCUAUCAACUUUCGAUGGUAGCAUAGUGGGCUACCAUGGUAUCAACGGGUAACGGGGAAUUAGGGUUCUAUUCCGGAGAGGGAGCCUGAGAAACGGCUACCACAUCCAAGGAAGGCAGCAGGCGCGCAAAUUACCCAAUCCCGACACGGGGAGGUAGUGACAAUAAAUACUGAUACAGGGCUCUUUUGGGUCUUGUAAUUGGAAUGAGUACAAUUUAAAUACCUUAACGAGGAACAAUUGGAGGGCAAGUCUGGUGCCAGCAGCCGCGGUAAUUCCAGCUCCAAUAGCGUAUAUUAAAGUUGUUGCAGUUAAAAAGCUCGUAGUUGAACCUUGGGCCUGGCUGGCCGGUCUGCCUCACCGCAUGUACUGGUUCGGCCGGGCCUUUCCUCCUGGGGAUCCGCAUGCCCUUCACUGGGCGUGUUGGGGAACCAGGACUUUUACUUUGAAAAAAUUAGAGUGUUCAAAGCAGGCCUUUGCUCGAAUACAUUAGCAUGGAAUAAUAGAAUAGGACGUGCGGUCCUAUUUUGUUGGUUUCUAGGACCGCCGUAAUGAUUAAUAGGGAUAGUCGGGGGCAUCAGUAUUCAGUUGUCAGAGGUGAAAUUCUUGGAUUUACUGAAGACUAACUACUGCGAAAGCAUUUGCCAAGGAUGUUUUCAUUAAUCAGUGAACGAAAGUUAGGGGAUCGAAGACGAUCAGAUACCGUCGUAGUCUUAACCGUAAACUAUGCCGACUAGGGAUCGGGCGAUGUUAUUCUUUUGACUCGCUCGGCACCUUACGAGAAAUCAAAGUC
rnacentral:rRNA from 1 species